CUGAUAUUCUCUCCGUUGACAGCGGAGGGAUCAUUACCGAGUUUUCAACUCCCAAACCCCUGUGAACAUACCACUUGUUGCCUCGGCGGAUCAGCCCGCUCCCGGUAAAACGGGACGGCCCGCCAGAGGACCCCUAAACUCUGUUUCUAUAUGUAACUUCUGAGUAAAACCAUAAAUAAAUCAAAACUUUCAACAACGGAUCUCUUGGUUCUGGCAUCGAUGAAGAACGCAGCAAAAUGCGAUAAGUAAUGUGAAUUGCAGAAUUCAGUGAAUCAUCGAAUCUUUGAACGCACAUUGCGCCCGCCAGUAUUCUGGCGGGCAUGCCUGUUCGAGCGUCAUUUCAACCCUCAAGCACAGCUUGGUGUUGGGACUCGCGUUAAUUCGCGUUCCUCAAAUUGAUUGGCGGUCACGUCGAGCUUCCAUAGCGUAGUAGUAAAACCCUCGUUACUGGUAAUCGUCGCGGCCACGCCGUUAAACCCCAACUUCUGAAUGUUGAGCCUCGGAUCAGGUAGGAAUACCCGCUGAACUAAGG
rnacentral:rRNA from 1 species